rnacentral:rRNA from 1 species
UACGUAGGGGGCAAGCGUUGUCCGGAUUUAUUGGGCGUAAAGAGCGUGUAGGCGGCCAGACAGGUCCGUUGUGAAAACUCGAGGCUCAACCUCGAGAUGUCGAUGGAAACCGUCUGGCUAGAGUCCGGAAGAGGAGUGUGGAAUUCCUGGUGUAGCGGUGAAAUGCGCAGAUAUCAGGAAGAACACCCGUGGCGAAAGCGGCUCUCUAGAACGGUACUGACGCUGAGACGCGAAAGCGUGGGGAGCGAACAGG